rnacentral:piRNA from 1 species
CGCAACAGCCUGUAGAAGUAGAGAUACAUG